rnacentral:rRNA from 1 species
UACGUAGGCAGCAAGCGUUGUUCGGAGUUACUGGGCGUAAAGAGUGCGUAGGCGGUUUCCUAAGUUUGGUGUGAAAUCUCCCGGCUUAACUGGGAGGGUGCGCCGAAGACUGGGGAGCUAGAGGAUGGGAAAGGCAAGCGGAAUUCCUGGUGUAGCGGUGAAAUGCGUAGAUAUUCGGAGGAACACCAGUGGCGAAGGCGGCUCACUGGUCCGGUACUGACGCUGAGGUGCGAAAGCGUGGGGAGCAAACAGG